rnacentral:piRNA from 1 species
CAUCGGUUAAGAGUUGAAUGGGAGUC